UUGCGGACCUUGCACGUCGAGUGUGAAGUAUCGAAGCAGUUAGGAAGUUUAAACACAAACCAGGGCCUCUGGAUAAUGUAGAGCAAUGCUACACACUUUUGCAUUGGUAUCUGCACUGCACAUAAUAUGAACAAUUACCAUUCCUUGGAAGCCCAAUAACUUAUUUGAAAGUGGAUGGGGCGUCCGACUGCACCCUCAUGAAUGCUCAAGUCAAACCAUUGUGGAGGGUGACGGAGGAAUCACAUCAGACAUGGGUGGCUGUACACAGAGUCCUGGAGGUCAAGUGUCCUUUGGGCACAAGACAACAACACUCUGGACGACUGGCUACAGAACAAGAGAGGGCAUCUGGCAAAUGCAACUUCUUUGAGGAAGAACCACUUCUCCAACACUCAGGUGCAGAUGUUUGUAGAACAAGAACUGAUUUCAUCAUGUGGACCCCCAAACAAUGUAUAAUCGUCCGUGUCCCGUGAGCUGAUGACUUCCUCACCAAGGCUCUGAACACAAUGAGCCGAUUCUGGGCCAAGUAUAUCUACACCAAGAUGGUUGGCACAGCCCAUAGACAGGGUACAAACUCUAGAUUGUGAUAUAGGUCUAAGGUACAUUUAUUUCAUAUACUGUAACUGAUAGAAUAAGAGAUUGGGAAUAAGUUAAGAAAACCAAGACUAUGGGCUGAAUUCAAUCCGUAUCAAGGAAGAUCCACCUUUUAUUAGCUCGUCUGAAAUUUAACGGCCAUGUUCCCGUGUUCGCAGAGACUGCAUUCGUAAUUAAACGCUGCAUAUGUCGGCUCAAUCGGAAAUGACCUUUUGCAUUUUAAUACGGAUCUUCCGCGAUACGGAUUGAAUACAGCCUUAUAUCUAGUUCCACGCUGGCUGUAAAAAACAUCAACAACCAAAAACAAUUGACGGUGAUGCGUUUCCUUCUUAGGAGACAGACUCCAGUCUACAGACAGUCCAGGGUGGAAUACAGUGCAGAGAGGAAGAAGGAGAAGCUGGUACAUGAAGAAAAGUUAGGAAUACAGUAGUUCAGUGGAAGGACUCAAGCCAUGUAAUCGGUCUGGUGAAAAAUGUCUAUAAAUUAACUGUAUUUAGAUAGAAGUACAUACACAUAAUACACAAUAGUCAGUCAUUUAAGUUAAAAUGUAUACAAUAUAAAGUGUGUGGGUGCAAAUAGCUAAUGCAGUUGAUGAGGAGUUGUCAGAGAUAUACACUGACUGUACAAGACAUUAAGAAAACGUGCCAUGACAUACACUGACCAGGUGAAUGCAGGUGAAAGCUAUGCUAUCUUAUUAAUGUCACUUGUUAAAUCCAAUUAAAUCAGUGUAGAUGAAGAGGAGGAGAC